rnacentral:lncRNA from 1 species
UGUUUGGGGUUUUAGGGUAGUUUUAGACCCCUUUGUGCAUAUAUAUGUGUAUAUGCUAGUUGGGAGUAGUUGAUAUGCAUGUUUGUAGGUUUUUGGGCAAAGUUUGCAUGAAACAGAGCAGGGUUCUGCCCUUCGAGCAAAACCAGGUUCGGCCGCCGAAGGAAGGUUCGGCCGCCGAACCCCUUGUGGAGGCCGUUUCGGCUGCCAA